rnacentral:lncRNA from 1 species
CGGGAAGGUGCUGCUGGUACAUUGUCAGUCUAAGGACGACGACCUCGGGGUCCACAACCUGACCACCGGUGGCGAAUUAAAGUGGCAGUUCAGGCUGAAUGUCCUCGGCCACACGCUGUUCUGGUGCUACCUGGCCCCCGACCAUUCGCAUCACAUCGCGUACGACGCGUUCAAGGAAGAGGACGCCGACUACCAGGAGUACUAUUUUCAUACGUAUUGGUUUGCGAAAGACGACGAGGUUUAUUUGAGACGGGUGCGGGAGAAGGUCGAUCAUGUUACUUCGGGUGGGAAAAUGGGAGGGGUUUGUUGAUGAACCAUACUCGAGAUAUAGUUAUGAAUUUUUUACCCUUUGUUAUGUUCGAAUUAUUCAAUAAAGACUAUAUUAAUAACAUUCCAAGAAAUAAUAAAUAAAAUCUCCUCGCCAAAUUUUCCAUUAUGGUCUCAUGGUCUAAUAUAAGAAACGUUGAUUUUUUUGUAUAAUCGAUAUUGAUCAACUAAAAAAAAGUAUGGAAAAACUUCGCGAUAUAUGUUAUUGAGCCAUUCAAACCUUUAAGUGAUUGUUUGCGUAGAGGAAUUGGGUGGAGGAUUUUGAGUAAUUUGAAUAUUUAAUCUAAGAAUUAAUUUGAAAUUGGAUUGGAAGAAAUAAAAGAGAUUUCGAGAAAAUUUAAAUGUUACAUGGUGGGCCCAUGUGGUUUUGGCACCAAAAUAAAUAUAACUACUUCCUUUAUCUUACCUAUAGACAUUUAUGUCAUUUUCAAUUUUAACUUUAAUACACAUAUUUUNNNNACACAUAUUUUUUGUUCUAAUAUCUCAAAAUAAAAUCAACGAUCCAUACAACUUAUUUUCUAAAUAGUAUAAACACUCAAAUUCUCAACUAUUUUAAUUCACUAGCUAUUUGACUUAUUCUUCUAUGAAUUUACUUGAAAAAAUUACUCCUGAAACCAUUCAAAUCUUUCAAACUUAUUUUUGUUGUUCAUAGAUUAUAAUAAGUACUUCACACAUAAGAUUAAAGAAGACACUGUCUCGGGAUCAAACUUAUAGGACUUUUCAACCUACACAAUAGGAUCAUGGAUAGUUGAGGAUAUAUACCGAUGUCAACACACCAUACUACUUUUUCCCUACUCAAGCAAUGAAGACCAAGAAAAGAAUGCAAUUUCAAAACAUGAAUUGGAUCACAGCCACUUCACCGACUUCUCCAUCAAUAAAUUCAAAUCAAUAUGAAAGGUAACUGGUUGUAUGAGAUAUGAAUAAGAAUCAAAAGCUUAAUUACCUUUUGUUACAUGUUAUUUUGUUUAGUUUGAUUUGAUUUUGAUAAAUAUGAUACUUAUAUAAAUAUUUGAUUUACGUAUAGUAAUAAUGUUACCAAUUUUUUUGAGACCUAUAAAUCUCUUCCUUACCCGGUUCGGCCAACACGGUUAGGAUAUAAAACUUUCAUUGAUUUUGAUUUGAAAAGCAUUAGAACAAGAUUGGAGUCAUACAUGGAGAAAGCCAUGCACAAUACUCUUUUUAAAAUGAAGGACAUGCACAGUAUUAUACAUUAAGUUGAAUCACUCAUUGGUCGAUUAACCAACUGCACGUAGGGUACAUAUUUAAGAUAGUUGACUAGUUAACUUAAAAUAAAUGUUGAGAUAUCCCAUUUGGCAAUACCAUUAUGGAAAAAAGAACAAAUAUGGUUGUAAAUUAAUUACAAUAAAAUCCACAUCUUGAGCAUUUCCGUUUCCACACGCCAAACCGUCCUUAUAAAUACGUACCCCACCACAAGAAAAAAAAAGCACAAAUCAAAUCAGAAAACAAUACUGGUCACUAAUAAUGAAAACAUCGUCGCUAAUAAUGACAACGCCAACCUCCGUCGUCGUCCUUGCGAUACUGGCGCUUUCAGCCGCUGUCGCUAUAACUCCCUCCACCGCCGGUCUCACCCCGGUCCACCACGUCCACAUCACCAGCGACCUUACCGGCGGGAAGGCGCUGGCUGUGCGGCGGGAAGGUGCUGCUGGUACAUUGUAAGUCCAAGGACGACGACCUCGGGAUCCACAACCUGGCAGCUGGUGACGAAUUCAGCUGGAAGUUCGGGGUCAGCAUCAUAGCGGACACGCUGUUCUGGUGCUACCUGGCUCCCGAUGAUUCGCACCACAUCUCGUUCGAGGCGUGGAACAAAAAGGAGGCCAAUUAUAGGGAGAACCAUCUUCAUACGUAUUGGCGUGCGAAAGACGACGGGGUUUAUUUGCGACGGGUGAAGCAGAACGUCGAUGAGCAUUUGGCCGGGUGGGAAGAUGGCAGGGGCAUGAUGAACCGGACUCGGGUUAUCUGAGAGAUCAUAAGGGUUUUUAUUUUCUUGUCUGUUAUGGAAGGAUUUAAGCAAAGAGUAUAGGAUUAUUGGCUCAUUAAAAAGAGUAUUUUAAUAUUUUACCAAAUAAUAAUAAAUAACAUUAAGUGGCGCUGUUUUUUUGGUAAACUAAUAUUCCUG